rnacentral:rRNA from 1 species
UUGUAAUUUGGAGAAGGUGUUUCGGAAGAGAUGAUGGUCCAAGUCCCUUGGAACAGGGCGUCACAGAGGGUGAGAAUCCCGUACGUGACCAAUUAUCGAUUCCAUGCGAAACCCUUUCGACGAGUCGAGUUGUUUGGGAAUGCAGCUCUAAAUGGGUGGUAAAUUUCAUCUAAAGCUAAAUACCUGCCAGAGACCGAUAGCGCACAAGUAGAGUGAUCGAAAGAUGAAAAGCACUUUGAAAAGAGAGUCAAACAGUACGUGAAAUUGUUGAAAGGGAAGCGCUUGCAAUCAGACUCGUUUGCAGAAGCUCAACCUUCCUUCGGGAUGGUGUAUUCUUCUGUCAACGGGCCAGCAUCAGUUUCGGCGGCUGGAUAAAGACUUUGAGAAUGUAGCUCUUUUCGGAGAGUGUUAUAGCUCGGAGUGUAAUGCAGCCAGCUGAGACUGAGGUCCGCGCUUUUGCUAGGAUGCUGGCGUAAUGGUUGCUAGCGACCCGUCUUGAAACACGGACCAAGGAGUCGACCAAUGACGCGAGUGUUUGGGUGUAAAACCCAUGCGCGUAAUGAAAGUGAACGUAGGUGGGAGCCUUCGGCGCACCAUCGACCGAUCUUGAUGUCUUCGGAUGGAUUUGAGUAUGAGCAUUUUUGGUCGGACCCGAAAGAUAGUAAACUAUGCUGGUACAGAGUGAAACCAGAGNAAACUCUGGUNNAGGCUCGCAGCNNUUCUGACGUGCAGAUCGAUCGUCGAAUCUACUCUGAGGGACGAACGACUAAUCGAACCGUCUAGUAGCUGGUUCCUGCCAAUGUGUCUCUCAGAAUAGCAGUAACGAAUAUAACAGUCUCAUGANNUNGAGCAACGAUUACAGGCGUUGGGGGCGACAUGCUCUNAACNUAUUCUCGAACUAGCAACAUGUGAGAAGUCCUUGUNACUNAGUNGA